rnacentral:rRNA from 1 species
UACGUAGGGCGCAAGCGUUGUCCGGAAUUAUUGGGCGUAAAGGGCUCGUAGGCGGCCAACUAAGUCGGACGUGAAAGCCCUCGGCUUAACCGAGGAACUGCGUCCGAUACUGGAUGGCUUGAAUCCGGGAGAGGGAUGCAGAAUUCCAGGUGUAGCGGUGAAAUGCGUAGAUAUCUGGAGGAAUACCGGUGGCGAAGGCGGCAUCCUGGACCGGCAUUGACGCUGAAGCGCGAAAGCUAGGGGAGCAAACGGGG